rnacentral:lncRNA from 1 species
GAUUGUCAUUAAUAUCUAGUACUGUAAUGGUCACAGUAGCAAAUGAGGACAAGGUCAGCACAAUACUCUGAUCAGAGGCCUUUACACUAAUGUUAUAGGAAGACUGUAGCUCUCUAUCAAGUGGAUGCUCCAAAAUGAUGAUUCCCGAUGACCGGUCAACUGAGAAGUAACCAUCUGCGGAGUCUGCGAGGGAAUAGGUAACUUUUCUGUUCACACCAACAUCAGG